AAAGGACAACACAGCAGAGUCAGCUUCCUGACCCAAUGGGACCUUGGGAGGGGGGUAUAAAGGAAGGUGUAAUUUCCUUAAUAAACAACUAUGCAGCACGCUCUGUUACUCACUGACUCCCUGUGUCUGAGUACUGAGGCAUUGGUGCUGCAUCUUCUCACCCACUCCCCCAAGGGGUGUCUGAGCAGGAUCACCGGCAACACUGACACAACAUAAUAAGUCAAGGACCCUCCAAAGUUCCUGCCUCUGGGUUCCUGCUUUGAGUUUCUGCCCUGACCUCCCUCAAUAAUGAACUCUAAUAAGGAAAAGAGAAUAAACCCUUUACUCCUCAAGUUUUCAUGGUAACAAUCAAACUAGAAAGCAGGACAAACAUCAUCACAAAACUGAGAGUUCAGAUCCCCAAGGAAAGCCAAGGAGUAACAAAAAUGGAAAAAUGGAAAAUUUCAGUGUACAUGAUGAUUUGCAAGCAUCUGGCACAACACGCAGAUGACCUAAAGGCCACACAUUUUGAAGAGUAGGCCAGACACAGAAAGAGAACUACUACCCAACCUGGUAAAAUCUUAUCCUUCUCAAGAAUUCUGAUGCUUUUGAUGACUGUUAGUCUUGCCAGCUCAAAGCAAAACAGAUUUCAGGAACAGGUGUUUUAGGGUUUAUCUAUGUGAAGAUAGGAAAGUGUAAAGUAUAUGAAGGUCUGGGAAUGUAGUUACAAAGGUCUGAGGAUGGAAAGUCCUAACACGGUGGAUAAAUGCAAGUUAUGAAGGUCUGAGAAUGGAAGGUAUAAAGGUCUGAGAAUGGAAGGUCGAAGAUGGUAAUGUAAGGUACAUGAA
rnacentral:lncRNA from 1 species